ACUCUACUGAUAAGUGACUGAUUUUCCCUGCAAGGAUUGUCUUAUUUUAAACUUCAAAUUUAGUUGCCUUACUUUAUGUAAGGCAAUUUUGAAUGGGUUUUAAAGUGCAGUUGAAGACUAUUCAUACCUUUCUAAACCUAGAAGGCAGGAGUAGUGAACUAACGAUGGGAAGGGUGUAUCCCAGCCUUUCCAGCAUAAGGGGAAAGAGGGCUUGUCAAUGGGGAAUGUCUAAUGUGGAGAACAUGUAGGAGACAGAUGCACCGAGAUACAAAGCCAGCCAUGAACUUGCUGCACAGAGGCCAGAGUGACUGAUUUUCCUUUUGGUUACCCCUCAUUUUCAGAACCAUCUUAUGUAAAACACCCAUGAAAUACAAGAAUGAAUUAUUAAACUUAAAAAAGAGUAACUUGUGGCCGGGCGCGGUGGCUCAUGCACUUUGGGAGGCCGAGGUGGGUGGAUCACAAGGUCUGGAGAUCAAGACCUUCCUGGCUAACACAGUGAAACCCCAUCUCUACUAAAAAAUACAAAAAGUUAGCUGGGUGUGGUGGCAUGUGCCUGUAGUCCCAGCUACUCGGGAGGCUGAGGCAGGAGAAUCAUCGCUUGAACCCGGAGGCAGAGUUGCAGUGAGCCAAGAUCACGUCAGUGCACUCCAGUCUGAGUGACAGAGUGAGACUGUCUCAAACAAACAAACAAACAAACAAACUUGUAUUAACAUCUCCAUUGCCCCAUUUGCACUCCAGAAAUGGCUCAUUGAGGGGAAUUACAGUUUUCUGCAGAGAUGUAGGGAAGUACUUUGAGUGGUAGAGGUAGAAGUGGUAACAUCUAGGGGAGAGUUUGUGUUUACUCGGACUGGGGAUGGUAUGGCAGAGGCCAGUGGCAUAAAGAGCUUCAUAUGGAGACACUGGGUCUGAGAUAGGGAGUCACAGUCAGUGUGGCGGGUGCCAGAUGUGGAUCUCUGAGAGUCCACUUGGAGUGAUGGUGACUAAGACAGCAUUGGCAAGUGCUCAGCUAGGUGCCAUGGGCCAAGACAUGUGAGGACUACAACAACCUUGGACAAAAGAAGCUACGUC
rnacentral:lncRNA from 1 species